GAUGAACGCUGGCGGCGUGCUUAACACAUGCAAGUCGAACGAAGCAUCUAAUAGCGAAGCCUUCGGGCAGAGCAGUUAGAUGACUGAGUGGCGGACGGGUGAGUAACGCGUGGGUAACCUGCCUCAUACAGGGGGAUAACAGUCAGAAAUGGCUGCUAAUACCGCAUAAGCGCACAGAACCGCAUGGUUCAGUGUGAAAAGCUCCGGCAGUAUGAGAUGGACCCGCGUCUGAUUAGCUAGUUGGAGGGGUAAAGGCCCACCAAGGCAACGAUCAGUAGCCGGCUUGAGAGAGUGACCGGCCACAUUGGGACUGAGACACGGCCCAG
rnacentral:rRNA from 1 species